rnacentral:rRNA from 1 species
CCUACGGGUGGCAGCAGUGAGGAAUAUUGGUCAAUGGGCGGGAGCCUGAACCAGCCAAGUCGCGUGAGGGACGACGGUCCUAUGGAUUGUAAACCUCUUUUGUCGGGGAACAAAGGCGCCCACGGGUGGGCGGAUGAGUGUACCCGAAGAAAAAGCAUCGGCUAACUCCGUGCCAGCAGCCGCGGUAAUACGGAGGAUGCGAGCGUUAUCCGGAUUUAUUGGGUUUAAAGGGUGCGCAGGCGGAAUGUCAAGUCAGCGGUAAAAUUUCGGGGCUCAACCCCGUCGUGCCGUUGAAACUGGCGUUCUUGAGUGAGCGAGAAGUAUGCGGAAUGCGUGGUGUAGCGGUGAAAUGCAUAGAUAUCACGCAGAACUCCGAUUGCGAAGGCAGCAUACCGGCGCUCAACUGACGCUCAUGCACGAAAGCGUGGGUAUCGAACAGGAUUAGAUACCCUUGUAGUC